rnacentral:rRNA from 1 species
UACGGAGGGUGCGAGCGUUGUCCGGAAUCACUGGGCGUAAAGGGCGCGUAGGUGGCCUGUGGAAGUCUGCGGUGAAAGCCCGGCGCUCAACGCCGGGUCUGCCGUGGAUACUCUCGGGCUUGAGCUUACUAGAGGCAGAUGGAAUUCCGGGUGUAGCGGUGGAAUGCGUAGAUAUCUGGAGGAACACCGGUGGCGAAGGCGGCAUCCUGGACCAACACGUGACGCUGAGGAGCGAAAGCC